rnacentral:rRNA from 1 species
GACGAACGCUGGCGGCGUGCUUAACACAUGCAAGUCGAACGAUGAUGCCCAGCUUGCUGGGCGGAUUAGUGGCGAACGGGUGAGUAAUACGUGAGUAACCUGCCCUUGACUCUGGGAUAAGCCUGGGAAACUGGGUCUAAUACUGGAUACUACCUCUUGCCGCAUGGUGGGUGGUGGAAAGGGUUUUACUGGUUUUGGAUGGGCUCACGGCCUAUCAGCUUGUUGGUGGGGUAAUGGCUCACCAAGGCGACGACGGGUAGCCGGCCUGAGAGGGUGACCGGCCACACUGGGACUGAGACACGGCCCAGACUCCUACGGGAGGCAGCAGUGGGGAAUAUUGCACAAUGGGCGGAAGCCUGAUGCAGCGACGCCGCGUGAGGGAUGACGGCCUUCGGGUUGUAAACCUCUUUCAGUAGGGAAGAAGCGAGAGUGACGGUACCUGCAGGAGAAGCGCCGGCUAACUACGUGCCAGCAGCCGCGGUAAUACGUAGGGCGCAAGCGUUGUCCGGAAUUAUUGGGCGUAAAGAGCUCGUAGGCGGUUUGUCGCGUCUGCUGUGAAAGCCCGGGGCUCAACCCCGGGUCUGCAGUGGGUACGGGCAGACUAGAGUGCAGUAGGGGAGACUGGAAUUCCUGGUGUAGCGGUGAAAUGCGCAGAUAUCAGGAGGAACACCGAUGGCGAAGGCAGGUCUCUGGGCUGUUACUGACGCUGAGGAGCGAAAGCAUGGGGAGCGAACAGGAUUAGAUACCCUGGUAGUCCAUGCCGUAAACGUUGGGCACUAGGUGUGGGGGACAUUCCACGUUUCCCGCGCCGUAGCUAACGCAUUAAGUGCCCCGCCUGGGGAGUACGGCCGCAAGGCUAAAACUCAAAGGAAUUGACGGGGGCCCGCACAAGCGGCGGAGCAUGCGGAUUAAUUCGAUGCAACGCGAAGAACCUUACCAAGGCUUGACAUUCACCGGACCGCCCCAGAGAUGGGGUUUCCCUUCGGGGCUGGUGGACAGGUGGUGCAUGGUUGUCGUCAGCUCGUGUCGUGAGAUGUUGGGUUAAGUCCCGCAACGAGCGCAACCCUCGUUCUAUGUUGCCAGCACGUGAUGGUGGGGACUCAUAGGAGACUGCCGGGGUCAACUCGGAGGAAGGUGGGGAUGACGUCAAAUCAUCAUGCCCCUUAUGUCUUGGGCUUCACGCAUGCUACAAUGGCCGGUACAAAGGGUUGCGAUACUGUGAGGUGGAGCUAAUCCCAAAAAGCCGGUCUCAGUUCGGAUUGAGGUCUGCAACUCGACCUCAUGAAGUCGGAGUCGCUAGUAAUCGCAGAUCAGCAACGCUGCGGUGAAUGCGUUCCCGGGCCUUGUACACACCGCCCGUCAAGUCACGAAAGUUGGUAACACCCGAAGCCGGUGGCCUAACCCCUUGUGGGAGGGAGCCGUCGAAGGUGGGACUGGCGAUUGGGACU